AUAGAUGUAGUAGAUGUAAUAGAU
rnacentral:piRNA from 1 species